AUUUCUAUUUAUAUAGUUUAGGAAAAACAUUACAUUUUCAUUGUAAAAUCAAAUUUUAAUUUUAUAA
rnacentral:tRNA from 1 species